rnacentral:rRNA from 1 species
AUACGUAGGGUGCAAGCGUUGUCCGGAAUUAUUGGGCGUAAAGAGCUCGUAGGCGGCUUGUCGCGUCUGCUGUGAAAUCCCGGAGCUCAACUCCGGGCUUGCAGUGGGUACGGGCAGGCUAGAGUGCGGUAGGGGAGAUUGGAAUUCCUGGUGUAGCGGUGGAAUGCGCAGAUAUCAGGAGGAACACCGAUGGCGAAGGCAGAUCUCUGGGCCGCUACUGACGCUGAGGAGCGAAAGCAUGGGGAGCGAACAGGAUUAGAUACCCUGGUAGUCCAUGCCGUAAACGUUGGGAACUAGAUGUAGGGCCUGUUCCACGGGUUCUGUGUCGUAGCUAACGCAUUAAGUUCCCCGCCUGGGGAGUACGGCCGCAAGGCUAAA